AACGAACGCUGGCGGCGCGCCUAAUACAUGCAAGUCGAGCGAGAAGACGUAGCAAUACGUUUGUAAAGCGGCGAACGGGUGAGGAAUACAUGGGUAACCUACCCUCGAGUGGGGAAUAACUAGCCGAAAGGUUAGCUAAUACCGCGUACGCUCCUUGGACUUCGGUUCAGGGAGGAAAGCGAUACCGUGGGUAUCGCGCUCUUGGAUGGGCUCAUGUCCUAUCAGCUUGUUGGGAGGUAACGGCUCACCAAGGCUUCGACGGGUAGCUGGUCUGAGAGGACGAUCAGCCACACUGGCACUGCGACACGGGCCAGACUCCUACGGGAGGCAGCAGUAAGGAAUAUUGCGCAAUGGGCGAAAGCCUGACGCAGCGACGCCGC
rnacentral:rRNA from 1 species